rnacentral:rRNA from 1 species
GGGUGGGUGAGGAGAGUAUCCUAAGGCCAGCGAGAGAACUAUUGUUAAGGAACUCGGCAAAAUGACCCCGUAACUUAGGGAGAAGGGGUGCCUGUCUAUGACAGGCCGCAGAGAAUAGGCCCAAGCGACUGUUUACCAAAAACACAGGUUUCUGCUAAGUCGCAAGACGAUGUAUAGGAGCUGACGCCUGCCCGGUGCUGGAAGGUUAAGGGGAUCUGUUAGAGCAAUCGAAGCAGUGAACUUAAGCCCCAGUAAACGGCGGCCGUAACAAUAACGGUCCUAAGGUAGCGAAAUUCCUUGUCGGGUAAGUUCCGACCCGCACGAAAGGCGUAACGAUUUGGGCACUGUCUCAACAAUAGACUCGGUGAAAUUGUAAUCCCGGUGAAGAUGCCGGGUACCUGCGACAGGACGGAAAGACCCCAUGGAGCUUUACUGUAGCUUGACGUUGGGUCUUGGUACUACAUGUACAGGAUAGGUGGGAGACUAUGAAGCAUGGACGCCAGUCUGUGUGGAGUCAUCCUUGGGAUACCACCCUUGUAGUACUGGGAUCCUAACCAUAGGCCUUGAAUCAGGUCUUGGAACACCGUCAGGUGGGCAGUUUGACUGGGGCGGUCGCCUCCUAAAAAGUAACGGAGGCGCUCAAAGGUUUCCUCAGCACGGUCGGAAAUCGUGCGAAGAGUGUAAAGGCAAAAGGAAGCUUGAUUGCAAGACAUACAGGUCGAGCAAGGACGAAAGUCGGACUUAGUGAUCCGGUGGUACCGCAUGGAAGGGCCAUCGCUCAACGGAUAAAAGCUACCCUGGGGAUAACAGGCUUAUCUCCCCCAAGAGUCCACAUCGACGGGGAGGUUUGGCACCUCGAUGUCGGCUCAUCACAUCCUGGGGCUGUAGUAGGUCCCAAGGGUUGGGCUGUUCGCCCAUUAAAGUGGUACGCGAGCUGGGUUCAGAACGUCGUGAGACAGUUCGGUCCCUAUCCGUCGCAGGCGUAGGAAAUUUGAGAAGACCUGUCCUUAGUACGAGAGGACCGGGAUGGACGUACCUCUGGUGUACCAGUUGUUCUGCCAAGGGCAUGGCUGGGUAGCUAUGUACGGAAUGGAUAAGCGCUGAAAGCAUCUAAGCGCGAAGCCAACUUCAAGAUAAGAUUUCCCACCGUAAGGGUAAGACCCCAGGAAGACUACCUGGUUGAUAGGUCGAAGGUGUAAGUGCAGUAAUGUAUUUAGCUUAUCGAUACUAAUAGGUCGAGGACUUGACC